rnacentral:tRNA from 1 species
CCAUGGCUUAACGGAUAGAGCAUCUGACUACGGAUCAGAAGGUUGGGGGUUCGAAUCCCUCUGGG